CACGUAGGGCGCAAGCGUUGUCCGGAAUUACUGGGCGUAAAGCGCACGUAGGCGGAUUGUUAAGUCGGGGGUGAAAUCCUGGAGCUCAACUCCAGAACUGCCUUUGAUACUGAGGAUCUUGAGUUCGGGAGAGGUGAGUGGAACUGCGAGUGUAGAGGUGAAAUUCGUAGAUAUUCGCAAGAACACCAGUGGCGAAGGCGGCUCACUGGCCCGGUACUGACGCUGAGGUGCGAAAGCGUGGGGAGCAAACAGG
rnacentral:rRNA from 1 species